AGUUUAUUCUUCUUCAAAUCCCUACAUCUAUCACUGUUGUAGCAUAAAGGACAGCUACUAUAUUUCUUGAUCAUUGUGAAUUCUUUUUAUGAUCAUAAAUUCAUUCAUCAUUUGAUAUUUUUUGUUUGUAUUUUUAUAUAUACAGAAGCCUAUAACCACCUGGUUUAUACAGACGUUUUUUGCGAGAUUCUCAACUCGUGGGAAUGUCUGGUUUCACAAAGGAGGGCUUACCUGUCAUUGCUAUUGGUGUUGGGCUCAGCACAUUUGAUGAAUCGUUUGACAAAUACUAUAUACAGUCGCACAUCCAAAUGAAUGAAUAUAGGGAUCGAGUGAUCAUGCCAAGAGCUACAAAAGAAUCAAUGGAAGACACAUUGAUACUUAGUGUGAAAGUCUUGGACAUGAAAUGGUUUUAAAACUCUCGCAAGCACUUGAACAAUUGAAGGGUAUAUAGCAAUUUAAAACUUUUAUUGACCAUCUCUCAGCAAGUUUUCUUUUCUCAGAAUCCCAUACAACUUAGAUGCUUUUCUUAGUGCACACUUUCCUUGUGCCACCUUUCCAAGCUUUUUGACAGCUAUAACACAACAAUAGGAUGACUUGAACUAUCCAGAAAAGACUGACGGCCAUAUUUUACAUAGUUCAACGUUUCCAUAUUGUAAAUUCUUCAGCGUGUUGUGAAGGUUUUUUUUGUGUCAGUCUUUCAUGUUUGAAGGAGUUAGUACUUUUCACUUUAAUUUCAUUCAGAUCUUUGAAAAUCUCAACACUAAAGCUGAGUUCUUCUUGCUUCAUUGACAAUUGGCAGGUUGUAAAGCCUCUUUUGCAGGAAAGAACAAGGAAGAAAGUCCAUGUCCUCAAAGGUUGUGGCACGGAGGAAUUACUCAAGGUAAUGGACUAUGCAUCCCUCCCACAUUUUUGCAGAAAGGAGGAUUCCAGGGUGCCCCAACAUCAUGAAGCUGGAAAUACUGAAAAUUGUUUCUUCAUUGAUCAUGUCUUCCAUAAACAACUAUAUAAUUACACCGAGCAGCAAGCUAUAUUCAUAGAGUCCAUAUCCCAGGAUUCUUUCCAUGUAGAUUUUACCUGAGCCCCAGAACCCAGUUGAUGCCACAAAAUUGCCAAGACUUAUAGAAAACUGAGUUUCAUAAAACUGGAAAUCAGGAAUGGCCUUACGAAUUGAUGGAAUGGUCUUUGCAGUUCUCGUCUGCAUCGUGUUCACUUGAACCUUGGAGAAUUCUGAUGAUGCUCAUUUAUGAGUUACACUGGUCCAUUUUGAAUAAGAGUUAUAUUACACGCAAAAAGCUUAAAAAUUCAGUUAUUGAGAGUAAUAUCGGAGUGUUUAUGCAGAUGUAGUCUUCUGAAAGAAGAAAUUACGUUCAGAUUUUCUACUACUUUUUAAUAUUGUAUAUUUGUUGUACUAUUAAAUCACUGAAUUUGAUAUAAUAAGUUCUUCUUUAAUAUAGUUUACAAGCCAUGUACAUGGGGCUAUUUUGAAAAGACAGCAG